UGGCGACGCCGGCGAGUAUUGCGUAGGC
rnacentral:sRNA from 1 species